GUAAUAGCAUGCUAUGCUAUGCUAUGCUAUGCUUUGAUGUUUUGAUUCAUUUUUGUUCAAUAUUUGGAUGAAAAUUAUCAUUAAGAUAGCUUCUUGUCUUUCAAUUCUCUCCUCUAGAUUCUUUUAGAUAAUUUCUCAUCAGCGAUGGAGCAAUUCCGGCAGAUUGGCGAGGUCUUCGGCAGCCUCCGUUCGCUAAUGGUCCUGCGGGACGCCAUCGACGUCAACUCCCGUCAAUGCUGCCUGCUCGUCGGCGUCUUCGACGCAGUCGGCGACGCCCUCCGCACCCAGUUGACUUUCGACCCUAAGCACGCAUUCUACAUUUCUACUGGCACAACCUGCUCUGGCGCGUCCCCGUCGCGCUCGAGGUCAUCGCGGUUGUUGCCGAAGGCGUCGCCGGCUUUGACGACGAGUCGACCCAAAAAAAAAAAAAAGGGUUUGAGAUGCUCUGUGAACUCCUCACGAGCCCCAAAUCCCAACUUUGGGGGCAAUUGUAAAAGAAAAUACAAUAAAAAACUAAUUUAGUUUGAGAUGCUCCCACAGUCUGCGUAUCAGGGGUGGCAAUUGUAAAUUUGAAAAACUAGGACGAGCUAAGAGGCAUUUUCAUUUGGUUUCUUCCUUCCAGUCCCACCGAUCAGGUGUCGCCAGACUGCUGCUGCGCCUCCCUUCUCCCUUGUGAAACAGAGCGCUAUGACGGAAGGCAAGCAAGGGAUGCCCUACAAGAGCUUCUGCGAUUUCUUCCUCAUGCUCUCGGGUUCCGCUUUCCUCGCGGUUCUCGCCUCUCAGCUCCUCUUCCCUCGGACGACCGACGCCAAUUCCGCUCCUAUGAAAGGCGUUGCAAAAGGAUGUGAUAUUUUCUCUGGGGAGUGGAAAAAGGAUUCUGCUCCAGCUUACAGAAAUUCAAGUUGCAAGUUCAUAUCUUCUCCUCAAGAUUGUUUGACAAAUGGUCGACCGGAUACUGGCUACCUUUACUGGAGAUGGAAACCAUACAGUUGUGAACUUCCUCCAAUAGACACAAGGAAGUUCUUAAAUACUAUGAGGGGCAAAUCGAUAGCUUUUGUUGGCGAUUCUAUUCUCCGCAACCAGAUGGAGUCAUUGCUAUGUAUUCUCUCAAAGGUUGAAGAAGCAGUUCUAGUCUAUCACGAUGAAGCAUUUCAAUCAAAGACAUGGCACUUACCCUCACACAACAUCACAUUGGGACUCAUUUGGGCUCCUUUUCUGGUGAACUCUUCUGAAGCAAAGUCCAAGAAAGACCUACAGAUUUAUCUUGAUGUCCUCGAUACCACAUGGACUAGCCAAUCCCAAAACUACGAGUACAUAAUGUUGUCUGGUGGACAGUGGUUUCUCAAAGAAACCACAUUCUGGGAGAACAACACCAUCGUCGGUUGCCACUACUGCCCAGACAAAUCGUUAAAGGAACUAGGCAUCGACUACUCCUAUCGCAGAGUCCUCCGAUUGGCUCUCCGCUUUUUAAGCGCCGCCGACCACAAACCCGUUGUGAUUGUGAGGACUUGGACUCCAAGCCACUUCGAAUAUGGAAAAUGGUACAAUGGGGGGAUCUGCAACAGAACAAUGCCGUUCAAAGAAGGUGAGUACAAUGCUGAUCCUGAGGAUGCAGUAAUGAGAGGUGUGGAAUUGGAGGAGUUUCAGGAAGGAUUGGCAAAUGGUUUGAAUCUGAAACUUCUUGAUACUUACCAUCUUUCACUGAUGAGGCCCGACGGGCAUCCAGGGCCCUACAGAAGAUACCACCCUGAUCUAACUAAGAAACCCCAGGAGGACUGUCUGCAUUGGUGCUUGCCUGGGCCAAUUGAUACCUGGAAUGAGUUGUUUAUAGCAAUUCUUAUGGGAGAGGAAGAAUUGAGGUUUUCUUUAUAAAUCAUUAACUGUGUUCAUUGCUUUAAUGCAAGGCGUUCAUUUAUAUAUAUAUAUAUAUAUACUGCUUAAACUGGAAUGAAUACGAUCUGAGAUUGGUGGUAUUUGUUUAUCCUUACACAUUGAUGGUUGUUUUUUCUACGUAUGUCUCUAUUAAUACUGCAGAUUUAAUAUUGUUAUUUUAGUUUUAUUUAUUAUUAUAUAUAUAUGGAUUAGUUAAUAAAAUAAUUACGUAGUUUUAUACAUUGUGCUCUAAAUCCAAAAUUUUAUUUCGCUAAAAUAUAGAAAUCUCAAACUGUGGAAGUCUCUAGCAGCAAGGCAGGUCGAUCACCAGUUAAGUCACGAAUUAAGUAGGGAUGGUGGGGAAUCGAUGCAUCAGUUCAUCGCGAACACGAUUUCCACGACCCGCGACGCGAGCACUCGCCAUGGGCGACCCGACCAAGACCGAUCCCGCUGGAGCCGAGAAAGGGGCAGGAGAGACGGAAGACGCUCUGGAACUCGUUCUCUUCCACGCCGUCGAGUGCUACGUCUACUUGAUCCCGCCCAGGAAGACCGCAGCUUCUUACAGGUGUUUUUGAUUGCUCCCAAUUCCGCUCUUCGGUUCUUACGUAGAUGGCAAAAAAGCCAUUUCCGCCAUUUUACUUACUGGUGGAUGCAGAAUUGUGAUAAAAAAUUGUUCCUCUUUAUUGCCUAGUAUGACUGGCAGGUUUGUCUUGUACAAACAAGCUUCGAGGGUUGUAAUAAUUGUCAGGAAUGGAGAUAAUUGUGGAGUGGGCCACUUCUAGAUUGGAUAUCCUUUAUGGUUUGCUAUUGUAUCUUAAUGCAUAACCUUGUCUGAUUCUAGAUUUGCUUGGGCUUCAUUUGUGUUUCCCUAAUGCGUAAGCUUGAUGCAUAAAUGUUUCAUUAGCGGUGGACCAAGAAUGAUAAAUUAGACUUCCAAGGUUACUUAUUUUUUGUUUGAUUAAGGUAAGGAGAAGCGCUAGAAAAGACAAACACUUCUUAAAAGGAUCUUGUUUAAGUUUGAAUCAACUUUCUAGCAAGAUUGAAGCUAAGAAUUGUACAUGACUCCUUAUAGAUCAGUCUUUUAGAAUUACUCUGAUACGGUGAUCUAAGAAUCCCAAAGUCUAGUUAGAUCCAUUAUUGACUAAAUUCCAAUUUGAAUUGAUUUUAACUUAGAUGAGCUUCUAGUUUCAAGCUUAUGUUUCAAUCAAAUUUCAACUUUAAUGGAUUUCAAGCUCAGUUGUGGUUGUUAACUGGAACUUGUUUAACAAUGAGCUGAGCUUAUUUAGCUACAUAAAUGAGCUGAGCUUGGGAUCAAUGUACUAGAAUAGUUAGGAGGAGCAAUUAAACAAAUUGCUGGAAUUUAAGUACAUUAUUUUAAUAUUGUUAUACCAAGGGUGGGAGAGACUCCUACUGCCUAUUUAUAUGGGGCACUAUGUGGUUGAUUUCCUUGAAUUCACUGUCUCCUUCCCAACACUUGAGACUUUGUUGUUAAUUUUUUCAACACUUUUUUAACUUUCCUUUCAGGUUUUCCUGUAUUUUAUUUUAUUUCAUUUUUUUUGCAAUUUGACCUUUUUCCCUAACUUUGCUUGCAAAUAUUUAUUUCACAGAGUUAUCUAAGUUCUGGGUUCAGAUACUAUAGCUCACUGUAUGGAAUAACUUUGCUGAUUUUCAGGGCUGAUGAGUGGAACGUGAACAAAUGGGUGUGGGAGGGAGCAUUGAAGGUUGUUAGCAAAGGGGAAGAGUGCAUUAUCAGAUUGGAAGAUAAGGAAUCAGGUUUACUCAUCUUUCGGAUUAAAAUAAAAACAGAAAAUGGUAACAUUAUAUGAUUAUGAGCUCUCUUUAUCACGAGAAACACUUUUUAGGAGAAUUAUAUGCUAGAGCAUUCUUGAGAGAGGGAGAACCACAUCCAGUAGAGCCUGUUAUUGACAGUAGCAGGUUUGCUAUUUCUGUUAUUUUCUGGCAACAAAUUUUGUAACAUUUCUAAAUGCAUCAAGUCCAGAUAUUGUAUUUAUCAACUAGAUGGAUUAUCUAUGCACAGUAGAUUCCUAAUAGCACAACUUGGUCAUGCACUACUCAUGGCAUUCAUUCACUUGAUCACCAUUUCUCUUUUCUCCAGAUACUUUGUGCUUCGCAUCGAGGAAAACAUCGGUAAGUUCCUUAAACUUUUUAGCUGUGCUUUCAAAACCUGACAUAUUUAAUUAAUAUUCCAAAUGAAAUUCAAAGACGAUGCCUUUUUGUCUACAUAAGAUUGCGUUUCUUUUAUUCAAUUGAGAAAUCAAGUUUGCUGUUAUUAGAUAUAUCUUCCAUCACUUAGGGAGUAUCAUUCUAUUGUAUAAGUAGGAGAUUUUUUUCUUACUAGAUUCACUUAAUUGUUCUAAGCAAGCAUUGAAUCUAUUUGUAAAAUCCAAGAUUCAAAAUAAGUUCUUAUUUAAAAGAUCUACUGGGAACAAGCCUAGCAUCUGGUAGCGGAGGUGAAUAAUCUGUUUUCAAAUGUCAUUUGGCUAAGUGAUUGAACACUUGGUGACGUUUUGUCAGAUGGGACCUGGAGGCUUGAGUGAGAUAAAGUGAGCCCCACUGUUUCAAAUGCAUAUCUAAAAUGUUAGUUUGAGAAUUUUGAAAAAAAAAAAAUUAGAUAGGUUUUCUUAGUCAACUCACAAGAGCAUUACCAUGAGGGAAAUUAAGGUAAAAUAUCAGAUUGAAUUUCAAAUCAUAGGCAUUCAUUUCUUCGCUUUAAGGCUGAAUGUAAGAUCAGACAAUGAAGCAUUUAAACUGCAGGUGGCCGAAAACGUCAUGCUUUCAUUGGCAUAGGAUUUAGGGAAAGACCAGAAGCUUAUGAUUUUCAAGCUGCUCUCCAUGACCAUAUGAAAUAUCUAAACAAAAAGAAAGCUGCAGAGGAGAUGGAGCUACAUUAUCAGACAACAUCAACAGUUGAUUACAGUCUGAAGGAAGGGGAGACUUUGGUGCUUCAAUUGAAAAAUAAAGGACAAAAGGUGAAGUCCGCAAGCAUGGAGCCGGGUCUGAGCAAUCUUUCCUUGGACGAUAAGACAAAAACCAGCGAAGGUUCAAUUCUCCUUAAACCACCCCCUCCGCCUCCGUCUCCGCUAUCUUCCAUCAAUUCCGUUCAAAAAUCACCCUUUAGUUCGCAACCAUCCAAUGCUGAAGAGGUUACUUUGCAUUCUAAAGAUGAACUUUCACCUGAAGAAUCAUCCACAUUGAGAGAGAGCCCUCAAGACAUUAUAGAUGAUGAUUUCGGAGACUUUCAAGCGGCUGGAUGAUUUCUGUAAACAGUUCUCUUUUUUUUUGCCCCUGCUUCUUAUUGUGAUUUGUUUAUGUACUAAGACUCUGUGUAACUAUGAUGCUCAUUACUCGAUAUACAACAUUUUAUCUACUCAA